CUGUCACGGUGCAGGGUGCCUUCUCAGCUUCCCCUGCGGUCUGUGUUGUCCUGUCGGUUCGGUAGCUCGUGGUCUGGGCAAUCAGCGCUGAUCGUGGUGGGGGUGCGCAGAUCACGAGCUGAGUCUUCCCCACCUGUCGCUCGUUCCCCAGCUCCCUUAUAUGUCUCUGCCUCUCUGUCUGUCAUCGAUCCGUAGUUCGGAGAUCCGGCAGCGCGAGUGGUCCGCAGUGUGCCGGCCAGCUCGGAGAUCUCUGUGUGCGCCAGAGCAUUUGAUUAUUGUUUAUGUUAUUUUGUGUUUUGUGGCGAGAAUAAAGAUUCUCCUUUUCCCUACUCUGCAUCUGAGUCCUCUGUCUAGCCCGCACCCUGACAGCAGUGUUUUAUAUUGCUCAAUUAUUUCUUGAUAUAUUUCAUCCAUAAUCUCACUUCCUUCACAUUGUUUCUGAGAUUAAGGUUAUCAAUCAUUCCUCACUGGCGAGGUGCCAAUUAAAACUGCCAAUCAAUUAUCAUAGUUUAGAUCUCAUUAUAUAUUCCCCAGACACUCCCAAGAGCGCUGCCUCAGACAGUCUGGAAAUCGCUGUUUUAACAAGGAGAAAAGUGCAGAGUCACAUUUCUCUCUUCCUCUCAACCCCCCUCGGUUCAGUAUCUGGAACAGUUGUGUAUGAAUGGGAAUAAAGCUCUCUCACCUCAGAGAAACAUACCCGCAAGAAGAGGACAAAAAUACUCUGCACCAAAUAAUGAAAGUUAUAUAGACAGACAGACUGAGUGAUUCUGACUGAGAAAGCUUCUUCAAAUGUAGGUGCCCUUACUGAUAUUAUGGGUGUUUAUUUGGGAUUUAGGACUGAUAUAUGGUUUAAUCCACAGUGUGCACUUCUCAGGAUUUACUUAAGAUUUAUUUAAAUAUCUGCAUAGGGUAACUUGAGGCCCAGUGAUGACGUUUCGUCAUAUAUAUGGAUCAUUUCUGUGAAAUUCCAUUUCCACAUAGAACUUCUAUUUGAAAAAGCAAGAACUUGUCUGAUAAAAAAAAAAAGUUUAACAACCUAAGGGGUCUGUUUGGGAUCCCCUCGGAGGAAAAAGUGUGCUUGUCGUGUUUUUUCUCCAAUUUGCAAGUCAGUACUGGAGGCACUUGAGGAUGCAGAUCAGCAGAUGGAUUGUCCCACACCUCCCAGCCAAUUCUGUCUGCCAGAGACAAUCACAGACACAACGCUGAACUCACAGCUCCAGCCAAAUCCGAUCACGACAUUGAUCUGAGACAGGAACAAGGAGAAUGCCCACACGCACACUGAUAAAUAAUACCUUUCUUACAAUAAACCGACAAACCUAUAUAACAAUCAAAGGUAUACUGAAGUGUAAAAUUUUUGCUAUUAUCCUAACAAACUAAAUUUUGAUUGUGGGGAUGUUUCAAUGUGAGAUAAUUGUUUUAAUGAGUAGAAUGUUAUUUAAAGAGAAAAUUCUAUCAUCAUUUACUCACCCUCAUGUCACUCCCAACCUUUAUGACUUUACUUCUUCUGUGAAUCACAAAAUAAGAUAUUUUGAAGACCAUUGAUAACCAAACCAUUGAUACCAUUGAUUUCCAUUAGAUACCACUGAUUUAUUUAGUUUGACUCCUAACCCUAAGGUUGUGGGAGUCUCGGGCCGGCAAUACCACGACUGAGGUGCCCUUGAGCAACGCACUGAACCCCAAACUGCUCCCCGGGCACCGCAGCAUAAAUGGCUGCCCACUGCUCCGGAUGUGUUUUCACAGUGUGUGUGUGUUCACUGCUGUGUGUGUGUGUGCACUUUGGAUGGGUUAAAUGCAGAAAACGAAUUCUGAGUAUGGGUCACCAUACUUGGCUGUAUGUCACGUCACUUUCACUUUCCAUUUGAAUGGACAAAAUAUCUUUUUUUAUGAUCCCCAGAAGAGACUCAUACAGGUUUGGAACAACAUGAGGGUGAGAAAAUGAAUUAAAUUUUUUUGGUGAACUGUCCCUUUAAGGUUACCAUUAUUUAAGAUAUUAGUCCCAAAACACAAUCCUA
rnacentral:lncRNA from 12 species